CCCUUAGAUGUUCUGGGCCGCACGCGUGCUGCACUGAGUGGAUCAGCGGGUCAGGUUGCGCGAAAGCGUUUCCUAAUCUUUAAAUCCGCUCGUGAUGGGGAUUGACGGUUGCAAUUUUCUGUCAUGAACGAGGAAUACCUUGUAAGCGCGGGUCAUCAUCCCGCGCUGAAUACGUCCCUGCCCUUUGUACACACCGCCCGUCGCUCCUACCGAUUGAGUGGUCCGGUGAGGCUUUGGGAUCUGAGCGGAAAGAGCGUUUCGCUGUUUCUGCUCGGAAAACUCAGUCGAACCUUAUCAUUUAGAGGAAGGAGAAGUCGUAACA
rnacentral:rRNA from 1 species